rfam:Felis catus isolate Cinnamon breed Abyssinian chromosome B1, whole genome shotgun sequence.
GCCUGGGUGGCUUAGUCGGUUGAGCGUCUGACUUCAGCUCAGGUCAUGAUCUCAUGGUCCGUGAGUUAGAGCCCCGCGUCGGGCU